CAAGCUGAUACGGACAGCUGUCAGCCUUGCCCUGACAACUGUGACAACUCCCAUCAGGUGGCCUUCCCCUGAUGCUCCAACAUCACACACUCCCUCACACUGCGUCGGAUGACAUGCUGUUUGGCUACCCCUGAGCCGGUGGGGCACACGCACUGGUGAGGUUUUGAGCCUUCCCCUAACAUUAUUUUCUGAACAGGUCCAAGCAGGCCUUGGAAGGUGUGAAUAGAAUCAUAUAAUGACAAUGUACUUAUAUUUCAUGGGAGAACAAUCAAAUAGAGAAUAAACAUUACCCAAUACUCCCUUCAGUUA